rnacentral:rRNA from 1 species
UACGUAGGGGGCAAGCGUUGUCCGGAUUUAUUGGGCGUAAAGAGCUCGUAGGCGGCUUGUUGCGUCGUCCGUGAAAACCCGCAGCUCAACUGCGGGCUUGCGGACGAUACGGGCAGGCUGGAGUUCGGUAGGGGAGACUGGAAUUCCUGGUGUAGCGGUGAAAUGCGCAGAUAUCAGGAGGAACACCGGUGGCGAAGGCGGGUCUCUGGGCCGAUACUGACGCUGAGGAGCGAAAGCGUGGGGAGCGAACAGG